UGAAACACUGGAAGAUUUGUCAACAUGAGGUCCCCUCUGCUGCACAGAAACAGCUGUCUUGGUCCAAGCAGCAUCCUGAGUUCAAAUCGGACUAAUGAAUUCAGGGAGAAUUUUCAUUACUUCUAAACACGUGGCCCAUGUAUUUUAAUUAUGACAAAGUCAGCAAAACACAUCAGCAAGGGAAGCAAAGGGAAAGCCAUGGGCUUGAGAGACCUGGGCUUCCCUUCCUGCUAUAGCAUAAGCUAUUCAGUGGCCAAGAAUAAGGGUAUUUUUUAGAUUUUCAACAGUGAACAUGUAAAGUCUUUAUACUAAAAGUUUAGUUGUUUGUAAAAAAAUUAUGUAAACAACAGUACUUAUUUUGAAGUUUAAUGCAUGAAAGUGUCUCUGAAUUUGGACUAAAUGCGCUGACCAUACUAAGUCUUUCUGACCAGAUCAGCAAACCAGCAGAAUAAGCAUUUCAACCAUUCUUCAUGAUGAAUGUGAUUACUGUUCCAAGUGAUGGGUUUUCAGGGGCUUUUUAAUUCAAUUUGUGAUUCCAGUUAGGCCUCCAUAAUAAUCAUCAACUUAAUUCUACCAUUAUGUAAAUCACUGCCUGACAGAGGGGUACCCUGGUGGAGAAAGAGAAAAGACCCACAAGCAAGAAUGCUCAGGAAAUAGAAUGCUUUGACUAAAUUAAUGUGAUAUUUAAUACCAAUUUUAAAAACUCCCUUUAAUUCAA